rnacentral:rRNA from 1 species
UACGUAGGUGGCGAGCGUUGUCCGGAUUUACUGGGCGUAAAGCGUGCGUAGGCGGUUUUGUAAGUUUGGUGUGAAAUCUCCCGGCUCAACUGGGAGGGUGCGCCGAAAACUGCAAGGCUGGAGUAUGGGAGAGGUAGGCGGAAUUCCUGGUGUAGCGGUGAAAUGCGUAGAUAUCAGGAGGAACACCUGUGGUGUAGACAGCUUACUGGACGGUCACUGACGCUGAGGCACGAAAGCGUGGGUAGCAAACAGG